UUUCCGUAGGUGGACCUGCGGAAGGAUCAUUAUUGUAUAACCGAGGUGCGAGGGCUGUCGCUGACUCGAAAGGUCGUGCACGCCCGAGUGCCCUCACACACAUCCAUCUCACCCCUAUGUGCACCACCGCGUGGGUCCCCCUUUGGCUUGUUCGGAGGGGGGCUUACGUUUUCACACAAACUUUGUAUGCAGUGUAGAAUGUAUUUUUUGUUUUUGCGAUCACGCAAUCAAUACAACUUUCAACAACGGAUCUCUUGGCUCUC
rnacentral:misc_RNA from 1 species